rnacentral:rRNA from 1 species
UACGAAGGGGGCUAGCGUUGCUCGGAAUCACUGGGCGUAAAGGGUGCGUAGGCGGGUCUUUAAGUCAGGGGUGAAAUCCUGGAGCUCAACUCCAGAACUGCCUUUGAUACUGAGAAGCUUGAGUCCGGGAGAGGUGAGUGGAACUGCGAGUGUAGAGGUGAAAUUCGUAGAUAUUCGCAAGAACACCAGUGGCGAAGGCGGCUCACUGGCCCGGUACUGACGCUGAGGUGCGAAAGCGUGGGGAGCAAACAGG